rnacentral:rRNA from 1 species
GAUGAACGCUGGCGGCGUGCCUAACACAUGCAAGUCGAGCGAACAGACAGGGAGGUUUUUCUCCUGCCGGUAGCGGGUGGCGGGUGGGUGAGACGUAGAUCAGCAUCCUCUAUGACUUGGGUAAUUACGGGAGACCAGUGCCGCUAACACCGAAUACAUUCUACCGCACAGUUCAAUGGAUCAUUACGCUUUUCGCGACUCUAUUAGCGGGUUCCGCGCCGCCUUAGCUAGUUGGUAAGGUAACAGCUUAACAAGGCAACGAUGCGUAGCCGACCUGAGAGGGUGAUCGGCCACACUGGAACUGAGACACGGUCCAGACUCCUACGGGAGGCAGCAGUAGGGAAUCUUCCGCAAUGGGCGAAAGCCUGACGGAGCAACGCCGCGUGAGUGAUGAAGGUCUUCGGAUCGUAAAACUCUGUUAGUAGGGAAGAACAAAUGUGUAAGUAACUAUGCACGUCUUGACGGUACCUAAUCAGAAAGCCACGGCUAACUACGUG